GAGGCCUUGGCUUAAUUAAAGUGUUUGCUUUGCAUGCAGAAGAUGUGGGCUAGUGUCCUACAGGUCUUA
rnacentral:tRNA from 1 species